ensembl:snRNA Gm25130 predicted gene, 25130
ACACUUACAAAGCAGAGGAGAAGCCAUAAUCUCAAAGGUGGUUUCUUCAGGGUGAAGCUUACCCAUUAACACCAGAUGUGCUGACCCCUGCAGUGUCCCCAAAUGUGGGACACUCAACUGCAUUAGUGGUAGUGGGGAAUUUCAUUCACACUUUCA